GGGACUGGAGGACACAAGCUGCACUCCGCCACAUCAUAGCACCAGUGGUUUUCUGCAGGAAACAAGAGCCUAUUUGUUAUCCUUAAAGACAAAAGACAACAAGCCAAACUAUUGCACAGCAAGACAUACAGUUACCACAGGAUUUGUCGUAGUUAUCUCACUGCUACAGCUGCUUCCAGAAACUCUUACUAAGCAGAAGUAUGUGUUGACCUACGAGGUCAGACAAGACCAUGUGGAGCUGUUCUUUAACGCUGUUCGGAGAUUGGUUCAAGGCUGCCUUCCGUCACCUUGUGACACGCUGCAGUGUUCAAGGAGGAACAACAGGAAAUUUAACCGC